rnacentral:rRNA from 1 species
ACACCCGUUCCCAUCCCGAACACGGAAGUUAAGCUUCUCAGCGCCGAUGGUAGUUGGGGGUUUCCCCCUGUGAGAGUAGGACGUUGCCGGGC